UAGGGUUUCUUUGUUUUAGGAUUUAUUUGUUUUCUUUAGCUUUUAAGACUUCUCUUAUAUAUAUUUCUUUACUUGCACGCUUUAUCCUUUGAGAGUGCUCAUCCCCGUUUCUUCUCAUAUCCUUUGUCUAUUUUAUUCUGCUACUCCAUCUUUGUGGUCGUGAUGAAACACCUUAUCUUCUCCUUUACAUUUUUUUUUUUUUUUAUACAUACGUUGGUGAGGUGCACCCACUUUUGCACUCUUCAUCUUCACCCUAUUUUAAUUUCUUCAUCUUUUUUAACUGGUUACACAACCAUUCUCUUCACUGUUAUAGCCUUUCCAUUUCUUCUAGGGCAUAGAGCUUCCAUGGUUAGUUCUUUCAUGUUGUCUUCUCUCUGUAUCGAAGUUACAUCAGGUUUUUUACAACUUUUUUUGAAAGGUUCUACAUCCAAAGUAUAAAAAGAAAAACUUCUUUGAAGAUUUAGGAAUAAAAAUCUUAAAAAAAAUGUUUUUCCAUUCGUCCUUCCUGUUAUCCAUCUUCUCCUUGCUAAGGGAGGUAGACCAGGGUUUAACUAAGAAAAUCAUCUUAACUCGAAAAGGGGGUUUCUCAGUUUCUCUCUUUUUUUCCCCCACACAAUAUGGGUGAUGCUUUCUUGAUAUAUCAAUGGUUUUUCCCAUUUUCUCUAUGCUAUUUGAAAUGUUGGUGGAUGAGAAGUUGCACCCACCCAUUUUUCUCUCUCAUCUAUCUCAUGAGAGACCCAAGGAGGAGAAAUUGACUUCAGUGUUGUGCAGAGCCCCAUAAGGGAAUAAGUGAAGCUGCCAGCAUGAUCUAGCGUUGGAUGGAUACCCAAGUAAUAUAUUUUAAGAUGCACCCUAGCUAGGUCAUGCUCUGACAGCCUCACUCCUUCCCUCUUUGGGGCGCAAAUAGAUUCUGAAAUCUGAACCCUUGAGCUUCAGCUACCAAGAGAUGGAGACUACCUCUGGUGAUCCGGAGAGUGGUUGCUCAUUAAUGUUUAGCAUGCUUGUACGAAGGGAUGCAACAAGAACAAGCCGAAGUUGGUGUCUUAAGCGUCAUUCCACAGCUUGUUUCUUCAGCUCCCUCAGAUUUUUUGUUUGCAUGUAAUCUAAGCUAACCCUAUGUCAUGUGCCCUUUGUAUAAGGUUUGCAUAAACAAAGUGGUGUUUCGUUUGCACUAUUGCCUCUAUGAAUUGCUGAAGAAUGAAGAUGGUCCACUUGAUGUGAUGAACACAUGUGGCAGUUGUGAAAUAAUCAAUCAAAACUUGCAUUGCUGAACAAAAUACAAUUUGAAUCAAGGACCA